UACGUAGGGGGCAAGCGUUGUCCGGAUUUAUUGGGCGUAAAGAGCGUGUAGGCGGCCAUGCAGGUCAGCUGUGAAAACUCGAGGCUCAACUUCGAGCUGUCGGUGGAAACUUUCUGGCUAGAGUCCGGAAGAGGAGAAUGGAAUUCCUGGUGUAGCGGUGAAAUGCGCAGAUAUCAGGAAGAACACCCGUGGCGAAGGCGGUUCUCUGGGACGGUACUGACGCUGGAGACGCGAAAGCGUGGGGAGCGAACAGG
rnacentral:rRNA from 1 species